AAACGACUCUGGCAACGGAUAUCUCGGUCUAUAUAAGAACGUAAAAUCAUACUUGGUGUGAAUUGCAGAAUCCCGUGAACCAUGAGUCUUUGAACCAAGUUGCGCCCAACCAUUCGGCCAGGCACUUGCCUGGGCGUCCA
rnacentral:rRNA from 1 species